GACGAACGCUGGCGGCGUGCUUAACACAUGCAAGUCGAACGGAAAGGCCCUGCUUUUGUGGGGUGCUCGAGUGGCGAACGGGUGAGUAACACGUGAGUAACCUGCCCUUGACUUUGGGAUAACUUCAGGAAACUGGGGCUAAUACCGGAUAGGAGCUCCUGCUGCAUGGUGGGGGUUGGAAAGUUUCGGCGGUUGGGGAUGGACUCGCGGCUUAUCAGCUUGUUGGUGGGGUAGUGGCUUACCAAGGCUUUGACGGGUAGCCGGCCUGAGAGGGUGACCGGCCACAUUGGGACUGAGAUACGGCCCAGGCUCCUACGGGCGGCAGCAGUGGGGAAUAUUGCACAGUGGGCGGAAGCCUGAUGCAGCAACGCCGCGUGCGGGAUGACGGCCUUCGGGUUGUAAACCGCUUUCGCCUGUGACGAAGCGUGAGUGACGGUAAUGAGUAAAGAAGCACCGGCUAACUACGUG
rnacentral:rRNA from 1 species